AACGAGCGCUGGCGGCAUGCCUAACACAUGCAAGUCGAACGAGACCUUCGGGGCUAGUGGCGCAAGGGUGCGUAACGCGUGGGAAUCUGCCCUUGGGUUCGGAAUAACAGUUGGAAACGACUGCUAAUACCGGACGAUGACGUAAGUCCAAAGAUUUAUCGCCCAAGGAUGAGCCCGCGUAGGAUUAGCUAGUUGGUGAGGUAAAGGCUCACCAAGGCGACGAUCCUUAGCUGGUCUGAGAGGAUGAUCAGCCACACUGGGACUGAGACACGGCCCAGACUCCUACGGGAGGCAGCAGUGGGGAAUAUUGGACAAUGGGCGAAAGCCUGAUCCAGCAAUGCCGCGUGAGUGAUGAAGGCCUUAGGGUUGUAAAGCUCUUUUACCCGGGAUGAUAAUGACAGUACCGGGAGAAUAAGCACCGGCUAACUCCGUG
rnacentral:rRNA from 1 species